rnacentral:rRNA from 1 species
UCCUGUACUACCGAUAACCGUUUGAGAGAUGGGAUGACACAGUAGGAUAAGCUAAGCACACUGUUGGUUAUGUGUGCCCAAGCAUUGAGGCAGUCAGAGUAGGUAAAUCCGCUUUGACAAUGCUGGGGUGUGAUGGGGAGCGAAAUUUAGUAGCGAAGUAGCUGAUUUCACACUGUCAAGAAAAGUCUCUAUCGAGGUUAAAGGUACCCGUACCGCAAACCGACACAGGUGGGUGAGGAGAGUAUCCUAAGGC